rnacentral:rRNA from 1 species
UGAGGAACAUGACUUUCGGCGGGGGAGUAGCCGGCCCAACGGCCGGGUAAUACCGCGUACGACCUCUCGGGGACAUCCCCGGUUGGUGAAAGCAGCAAUGCACCGAAAGAGUGCCUCGCGGCCUAUCAGCUAGUUGGUGGGGUAACGGCUCACCAAGGCGACGACGGGUAGCUGGUCUGAGAGGAUGGCCCAGCCCACAGUUUGGGGACUGAGACACCGGGCCCCAGACCUCCGUACGGGGAGGCAG